rnacentral:snRNA from 1 species
GUACUCACUUUGGCAGCCCAUGGACUAAAAUUGGAAUAAUACAGAGGCUCCUGUGCAAGGAUGACAUGCAAAUUUAUGAGGUGUUCCACAUUUAA